UUCGCAAUGCCCGAAAGGGUGACGAAGCGACGCCGCGUGGGUGAGGAAGGCCUUCGGGUUGCAAAGCCCUGUCAGGAGUUAAGAAAUGUAAGUGUGCUAAUAUCGCAUUUACUUGACGAAGGCUCCAAAGGAAGUCACGGCUAACUCUGUGCCAGCAGCCGCGGUAAUACAGAGGUGGCAAGCGUUGUUCGGAAUUAUUGGGCGUAAAGAGCACGUAGGUGGGUUUGUAAGUCAGAUGUGAAAGCCUCCUGUUCAACGGGAGAAUUGCAUCUGAAACUACUGAUCUUGAGUAUAGGAGGGGAGAAUGGAACUUCUGGUGGAGCGGUGAAAUGCGUAGAUAUCAGAAGGAACGCCGGCGGCGAAAGCGAUUCUCUGGCCUAUUACUGACACUCAGUGUGCGAAAGCUAGGGGAGCAAACGGGAUUAGAUUCCCCGGUAGUCCUAGCCGUAAACGAUGGGCACUAAGUAGAGGGGUUUU
rnacentral:rRNA from 1 species